rnacentral:rRNA from 1 species
GAUGAAUGCUGGCGGCGUGCCUAACACAUGCAAGUCGAGCGGCAGCGCGGGGUGCUUGCACCCUGUCGGCGAGCGGCGAACGGCUGAGUAACGCGUAGGAAUUUGCCCCAAAGUGAGGAAUAACUGCCCGAAAGGGUAGCUAAUGCCGCAUAUGGUCUUCGGAUUAAAGGAUUUAUCCGCUUUGGGAGAAGCCUGCGUUGGAUUAGGUUGUUGGUAGGGUAAUGGCCUACCAAGCCGACGAUCCAUAGCUGGUCUGAGAGGAUGAUCAGCCAGACUGGAACUGAGACACGGUCCAGACUCCUACGGGAAGCAGCAGUGAGGAAUCUUCCACAAUGGGCGAAAGCCUGAUGGAGCAACGCCGCGUGAAGGAUGAAGGCCUUCGGGUUGUAAACUUCUUUUAUGAGUGAAGAAUAUGACGGUAACUCAUGAAUAAGCACCGGCUAACUACGUG